rnacentral:rRNA from 1 species
GCGCGAUAGGAUGAGCCGACGCCCGAUUAGCUUGUUGGUAGGGUAAUGGCCUACCAAGGCGACGAUCGGUAGCUGGUCUGAGAGGAUGAUCAGCCACACUGGGACUGAGACACGGCCCAGACUCCUACGGGAGGCAGCAGUGGGGAAUAUUGGACAAUGGGCGCAAGCCUGAUCCAGCCAUGCCGCGUGAGUGAAGAAGGCCUUCGGGUUGUAAAGCUCUUUCGGCAGGGAAGAAACAGUUGAGGCUAAUACCCUUGACCAAUGACGGUACCUGCAUAAGAAGCACCGGCUAACUACGUGCCAGCAGCCGCGGUAAUACGUAGGGUGCGAGCGUUAAUCGGAAUUACUGGGCGUAAAGCGUGCGCAGGCGGUUUUUCAAGUCUGAUGUGAAAGCCCUGGGCUUAACCUGGGAACUGCGUUGGAAACUGAAAGACUAGAGUGCGGCAGAGGGGGGUAGAAUUCCACGUGUAGNAGUGAAAUGCGUAGAUAUGUGGAGGAAUACCGAUGGCGAAGGCAGCCCCCUGGGUCGACACUGACGCUCAUGCACGAAAGCGUGGGUAGCAAACAGGAUUAGAUACCCUGGUAGUCCACGCCCUAAACGAUGUCAACUGGUUGUUGGGGGAGUGAAAUCCUUUAGUAACGAAGCUAACGCGUGAAGUUGACCGCCUGGGGAGUACGGUCGCAAGAUUAAAACUCAAAGGAAUUGACGGGGACCCGCACAAGCGGUGGAUGAUGUGGAUUAAUUCGAUGCAACGCGAAAAACCUUACCUACCCUUGACAUGUCCAGAACCCUGCAGAGAUGCGGGGGUGCCCGAAAGGGAAUUGGAACACAGGUGCUGCAUGGCUGUCGUCAGCUCGUGUCGUGAGAUGUUGGGUUAAGUCCCGCAACGAGCGCAACCCUUAUCAUUAGUUGCUACGCAAGGGCACUCUAAUGAGACUGCCGGUGACAAACCGGAGGAAGGUGGGGAUGACGUCAAGUCCUCAUGGCCCUUAUGGGUAGGGCUUCACACGUCAUACAAUGGUCGGUACAGAGGGUUGCCAAGCCGCGAGGUGGAGCCAAUCCCAGAAAGCCGAUCGUAGUCCGGAUUGUUCUCUGCAACUCGAGAGCAUGAAGUCGGAAUCGCUAGUAAUCGCGGAUCAGCAUGUCGCGGUGAAUACGUUCCCGGGUCUU